rnacentral:rRNA from 1 species
CCUACGGGAGGCAGCAGUGAGGAAUAUUGGUCAAUGGACGCAAGUCUGAACCAGCCAAGUCGCGUGAAGGAAGAAGGAUCUAUGGUUUGUAAACUUCUUUUAUAGGGGAAUAAAGGUAUCCACGUGUGGAUAUUUGCAUGUACCCUAUGAAUAAGCAUCGGCUAACUCCGUGCCAGCAGCCGCGGUAAUACGGAGGAUGCGAGCGUUAUCCGGAUUUAUUGGGUUUAAAGGGUGCGUAGGUUGUUUUUUAAGUCAGCGGUGAAAGUUUGUGGCUCAACCAUAAAAUUGCCGUUGAAACUGGAAGACUUGAGUGUGUUUGAGGUAGGCGGAAUGCGUGGUGUAGCGGUGAAAUGCAUAGAUAUCACGCAGAACCCCGAUUGCGAAGGCAGCUUACUAAGCCAUAACUGACACUGAAGCACGAAAGCGUGGGGAUCAAACAGGAUUAGAUACCCGAGUAGUC